AGAGUUUGAUCCUGGCUCAGGACGAACGCUGGCGGCGUGCUUAACACAUGCAAGUCAAGGACGCAGCCCCGCAAGGGGUUGUGGACUGGCGCACGGGUGCGGAACACGUAGGUAAUCUACCCUUUAGGGGAGAACAACUCGUCGAAAGACGAGCUAAAACUCCGUAACAUGAGAGAUCGGCAUCGAUUUUUUAUCAAGCUUUCUAAGGGAUGAGCCUGCGCCUGAUUAGCUAGUUGGUAGGGUAACGGCCUACCAAGGCUACGAUCAGUAGCUGGUCUGAGAGGAUGAUCAGCCACAUUGGGACUGAGACACGGCCCAGACUCCUACGGGAGGCAGCAGUGAGGAAUAUUGCUCAAUGGACGAAAGUCUGAAGCAGCAACGCCGCGUGAGGGAUGAAGGUGCUCUGCAUCGUAAACCUCUGUAGAGGGAGACAAACUUCGAGUUACUACUCGAUUGAUGGUACCCCUAAAGUAAGGAUCGGCUAACUACGUGCCAGCAGCCGCGGUAAUACGUAGGAUCCAAGCGUUGUCCGGAUUUACUGGGUGUAAAGGGUGCGCAGGCGGACCAAUAAGUCAGGAGUGAAAUCUCGGCGCUCAACGCCGAAACGUCUUUUGAUACUGUUGGUCUUGAAUAAGCGAGAGAUUCGUGGAAUUCCGAGUGUAGCAGUGAAAUGUGUAGAUAUUCGGAAGAACACCAGAGGCGAAGGCAGCGAAUUGGCGCUUUAUUGACGCUCAGGCACGAAAGCAUGGGGAUCAAACAGGAUUAGAUACCCUGGUAGUCCAUGCCCUAAACGAUGAUCACUUGGUGUCGGCCGCAAGGUCGGUGCCGGAGCUAACGCGUUAAGUGAUCCACCUGGGGAGUACGCUCGCAAGGGUGAAACUCAAAGGAAUUGACGGGGGCCCGCACAAGCAGUGGAGCAUGUGGUUCAAUUGCAACGCGAAGAACCUUACCUAGGCUUGAAAGGUCGUCUAAACAGGUGAAAGCCUGCUACCCGCAAGGGGGGCGAUACAGGUGCUGCAUGGCUGUCGUCAGCUCGUGCCGUGAGGUGUUUGGUUAAGUCCAGCAACGAGCGCAACCCCUGGGUUUAGUUACCAGCACGUAAAGGUGGGAACUCUAGACCAACUGCCUACGCAAGUAGUGAGGAAGGUGGGGACGACGUCAAGUCAUCAUGGCCCUUACGCCUAGGGCAACACACGUGCUACAAUGGCGACUACAGCGCGCUGCAAUACCGCGAGGUGGAGCGAAUCGCUAAAAAGUCGUCUCAGUUCGAAUCGGAGUCUGCAACUCGACUCCGUGAAGUUGGAAUUGCUAGUAAUCGGGGGUCAGCACACCCCGGUGAAUACGUUCCCGGGCCUUGUACACACCGCCCGUCAAGCCAUGAAAGCCGGGAGUACCCGAAGCCGCCUUAUAAGCGUCUAAGGUAAGACCGGUGAUC
rnacentral:rRNA from 1 species